rnacentral:rRNA from 1 species
AGAACGAACGCUGGCGGCACGCCUAACACAUGCAAGUCGAGCGCCCAGCAAUGGGAGCGGCGGACGGGUGAGGAACACGUGGGAAUAUGCCUUUCGGUUCGGCACAACUCAGGGAAACUUGAGCUAAUUCCGGAUACGCCCUUACGGGGAAAGAUUUAUCGCCGAAAGAUUAGCCCGCGUCUGAUUAGCUAGUUGGUGAGGUAAUGGCUCACCAAGGCUUCGAUCAGUAGCUGGUUUGAGAGAACGACCAGCCACACUGGGACUGAGACACGGCCCAGACUCCUACGGGAGGCAGCAGUGGGGAAUCUUGGACAAUGGAGGAAACUCUGAUCCAGCGAUGCCGCGUGAGUGAUGAAGGCCUUGGGUUGUAAAACUCUUUUACCAGGGAAGAUAAUGACUGUACCUGGAGAAUAAGCUCCGGCUAACUUCGUGCCAGCAGCCGC